rnacentral:rRNA from 1 species
GACGAGCCACCCAAACGUUAUUCGGAAUUACUGGGGCUUAAAGGGUGCGUAGGCGGCUUUCUAAGUCGGGGUGGAAAUCCUGGAGCUCAACUCCAGAACUGCCUUCGAUACUGGAAAGCUCGAGUCCGGGAGAGGUGAGUGGAACUGCGAGUGUAGAGGUGAAAUUCGUAGAUAUUCGCAAGAACACCAGUGGCGAAGGCGGCUCACUGGCCCGGUACUGACGCUGAGGUGCGGAAAGCG